CCUACGGGCGGCAGCAGUGAGGAAUAUUGGUCAAUGGGCGCGAGCCUGAACCAGCCAAGUAGCGUGAAGGAUGACUGCCCUACGGGUUGUCAACUUCUUUUAUAAAGGAAUAAAGUGAGUCACGUGUGCCUUUUUGUAUGUACUUUAUGAAUAAGGAUCGGCUAACUCCGUGCCAGCAGCCGCGGUAAUACGGAGGAUCCGGGCGUUAUCCGGAUUGAUUGGGUUUAAAGGGAGCGUAGAUGGGUUGUUAAGUCAGUUGUGAAAGUGUGCGGCUCAACCGUAAAAUUGCAAUUGGUACUGGCAGUCUUGAGUACAGUAGAGGUAAGCGGAAUUCGUGGUGUAGCGGUGAAAUGCUUAGAUAUCACGAAGAACUCCGAUUGCGAAGGCAGCUUACUAAACUGCCACUGACAUUGAUGCUCGAAAGUGUGGGUAUCAAACAGGAUUAGAGACCCGUGUAGUC
rnacentral:rRNA from 1 species